rnacentral:rRNA from 1 species
UACGUAGGGUGCAAGCGUUGUCCGGAAUCAUUGGGCGUAAAGCGCGUGUAGGCGGCCAGAAAAGUCCGCUGUGAAAACUCGAGGCUCAACUUCGAGCUGUCGGUGGAAACUUUCUGGCUAGAGUCCGGAAGAGGAGAAUGGAAUUCCUGGUGUAGCGGUGAAAUGCGCAGAUAUCAGGAGGAACACCGGUGGCGAAGGCGCCACUCUGGGCCGAAACUGACGCUGAGGAGCGAAAGCGUGGGUAGCGAACAGG